GCCUGGGUGGCUCAGUUGGUAGAGCAUGUGGCUCUUGAUCUCAGGGUUGUGGGUUCGAGCCCCAUGUUGGGUG
rnacentral:tRNA from 1 species